rnacentral:rRNA from 1 species
GCGAACGCCGGGCCGGCGGCCGGGGGAAGACGGGGGGGGGAGUGGGUGUUCGGAAGUGCUGGGGGGAAAGGGGGCGGAGGCGGUUUGCUAAGUUGAAUGUGAAAACUCUGGGCGUAACCCAGAGCCUGCAUUCAAUACUGGCAGGCUAGAGGUCUGGAGGGGAUAGCGGAAUUCCUGGUGUAGCGGUGAAAUGCGUAGAUAUCAGGAGGAACACCGGUGGCGAAGGCGGCUAUCUGGACAGAGUCUGACGCUGAGGCGCGAAAGCUAGGGGAGCAAACAGGAUUAGAUACCCCGGUAGUC